CACGCGGUUCGCGCAUCCACGUUACAAUAUAAAUUUCAGCAGUACGGAUAGUUUAUCCCGCCGAAGAGUAAUUUGCCCAUUAACUUAGUGUCGCGUUUGUCUCGUCGUGCGGGCGUAUUGGCAAGGAAACGCGGAACAUUAGCGUGAAUAAACUCCUUAACGUCGGAGUUCAUUCGCCGUGAAAUACGAAGCACGAUAUGCAGUCGAAGUCUAACAAGUGGCAUACUGCAUGCUGGAAAGUUUGCUCGAAUAAGGAGAGUGGGGUAUUGAUGCAGUUCACUGCGUGAGAAAGUGAACAUCGAUCGAGAUGGCAGGGGCGCGAGGUUAGGAAAAAAGGAAGCUGCGGCACGUUGACCAUUUGUACUUGGAAUUUUCUAGACUACGAUCGGGCGGCGAUUCUGAUUUAUUUCCACAUCGUGUUGGUACAUGUCGUAUAUAAUGCUACGGGGUGAAAGUUGGCAUGGAAUCAAUUGCGAUAGGUACAGUUCUGAAACUAUAUUGCAUAUUAUUUCUUAAAUUAAUAUAGUAUCGACGCGAUAAAUAUCGCAAAUUGCCUAAAGCGCGAUAGAAACAUAAAGGGUUAAAAUAUCGUUACUGUGUGAAUCAUGGGAAAAAUAUUAAGAAAUAUCAUACGUUGAAAGCAAAUGAAAUGUUACAUGCUGAAAGACAUUAUUAUUAGACUGUGGACGUUUACGCAUUUAUGGAAGAUUGAAAGAAGUAAAAAUACAUAGAAUCUAUAUGAUAUGCAAAUAAUAUGAAAUAUUCAACGUACAGUAGCCAUUGUAAUGUACGUAAAGAAUGAGACAGAUCUUUACUUUGGUGUUAUUCCUUUGAUAGCGCCAAUAAAAAUUUGAUUUCGCGCGAACAUCCACAGUUUGUAUAUCGCAAAUAUUAAAUAUUGUAACGAUGAUUAAAAAAGUAUUACAAUUAAGUAACGAAACUUUAGAGAACACGUCUCACGUUAAGAUCUUUCGUAUUUGAAUCAUAUUCUAUAUUAAUUCCAAUAUAAUGUAAUAUACAUGUUAAUAUUUUUAAUAUUGUACACGAAUAUGCAACGUCUACUUUUAUUAUCGUUAGUAUUUUUACUGCAAUAGCUAAAGCUUCGAGAAAAUGUUACCCACUUCUAACUCCGCAAAUUUUAAGAGCGAUACAUAUAAUAAUUUAUAUGAAAGAUAUAAAUGCUACAUAGUUUGCUACAUAAAUGUUAUCUAUCGUUAAUUUAUCGAACGUAAAAAUUCAACCACCUGUAAUAAAUUUACGUUUACUUGCCCGCGAAAUAUAAGGAAAGCAAACUGGCAGAUA